AUACGUAGGUGGCAAGCGUUGUCCGGAUUUAUUGGGCGUAAAGCGAGCGCAGGCGGUUCUUUAAGUCUGAUGUGAAAGCCCCCGGCUCAACCGGGGAGGGUCAUUGGAAACUGGAGGGCUUGAGUGCAGAAGAGGAGAGUGGAAUUCCAUGUGUAGCGGUGAAAUGCGUAGAUAUAUGGAGGAACAACAGUGGCGAAGGCGGCUCUCUGGUCUGUAACUGACGCUGAGGCUCGAAAGCGUGGGGAGCAAACAGGAUUAGAUACCCUGGUAGCCCACGCCGUAAACGAUGAGUGCUAAGUGUUGGAGGGUUUCCGCCCUUCAGUGCUGCAGCUAACGCAUUAAGCACUCCGCCUGGGGAGUACGGCCGCAAGGCUGAAACUCAAAUGAAUUGACGGGG
rnacentral:rRNA from 1 species